rnacentral:tRNA from 2 species
GACCAUUUAGCCAAGUUGGUUAAGGCGAUUGAUUAGAAAUCAAUUGGGCUUCGCCCGCGUAGGUUCGAAUCCUGCAGUGGUCG